rnacentral:rRNA from 1 species
GACGAACGCUGGCGGCGUGCUUAACACAUGCAAGUCGAACGGAAAGGCCUGUCCUUCCUUGUGUUGGACGGGUACUCGAGUGGCGAACGGGUGAGUAACACGUGAGUGAUCUGCCCCCAACUUGGGUAUAAGCCUGGGAAACUGGGUCUAAUUCCCGAUAGGACUGCAGGGUGGUGCCUGUGGUGGAAAACGAUUUUCUAGUGGUUGGGGAUGAGCUCGCGGCCUAUCAGCUUGUUGGUGGGGUAAUGGCCUACCAAGGCGGCGACGGGUAGCCGGCCUGAGAGGGUGGACGGCCACAUUGGGACUGAGAUUCGGCCCAGACUCCUACGGGAGGCAGCAGUGGGGAAUAUUGCACAAUGGGCGGAAGCCUGAUGCAGCGACGCCGCGUGGGGGAUGACGGCCUUCGGGUUGUAAACUCCUUUCGACCGCGAGGAAGCCGCCUGGUUGGAAGGGUGGUGACGGUAGUGGUAGAAGAAGCACCGGCUAACUACGUG